rnacentral:lncRNA from 1 species
GCCCUCCACCCUGCCUUCCAGGGCCACUCUGAGGACACCAGGACCCUAGGUGAGGCCAGUGGGGGCCGGCCCGGGCUCCCUCCCCACAACACAGCCUCUGGGACCGCUCCAAAGCCUGGACCCAGUCCAGUGGGGUGGAGAGGUCAGCCCGGGGAGGGGAGGGGGGUAGGGGCUGGGAGGCUGGUGGGGAGGCAACUGGCCUUGCUUCUGCUUCCUAGCUGGGUGGCCACAGAGCUGCCUGGAAGCUCGGGGAGGUCCAGCAGGGGCGCCUCGGGGAACAAAAGGCCUGUUCCCGCCACUGGCCAGGCAUCCCGCCUCCCCUCACGGCGGCCUAGGGGUACUGCACUGGCCUCCAGGGCACUGGCCUGGCCCCGCCCAGGUGCGGCACUUACCUGGCCUCCCGCAGCAGCCCCCGGCGUGCCAGCAGUCCAGAGGUUCCACAGCCCUCGGGUCCAGAGACCAACCCUUCAGGGAUCGGGUGGAGCCGCUCUGCGCCUGUUGGGCCCUGGGUCCGCCCGUCUCUCCCGGUGGGGCUGGGCGGGGCCGGGGAGGAGGGAGCCAGGGGCGGGAGCGGCAGGGAAGGGGCUGUGGCCUCUUCUCCAAGCAGGGGCCCUGGCCCCUGGGCGGCCCACCCCAUUGUGUGCCUGGCCUGGCUCACAAUCACAGCCUUUGUGGUGGCCUCUCCCACCCGGGGGAACUCAAGCGUGCUGGGGGUCCUGGCCCCCACCAGCUUCAAAGGGCAAGUUCCUCCUCCCCAAAUUGGCCCUGUGCAGACCUAAGCCCAGACCUAAGCCAAGGAACAGGCGGCUGGCUCCAGGCGGGGACCUGAGCCUGAGCUGGGGGGUUUGCUGUGUGGUACCCCCACCUCCUAGUCAUACGGGGAGAGGCAGCCGGGCCAAGCACGCUCUGAGCACGUGGGGUGGAGAAGGAGCAGCGGGCGCCCAGAGGGUCCCUCUCCUGGCCCGUGCCCCGCCCCUGGGGGCCUUAGUCUGGCUGUGGGAGGAAUGGGGAGGUGCUCAGGCACCAGGGCCAGGACCUGGGCUUCCGAGGAAGGCGGAGGGGAGAGAAGGGGGAGGGGGUCUCAGCCCACGUCCCGCCCCCAGGAAGACACCUGACCCGUCUCCAAGUUGCCGGCCCGUGGCGAGAGGGGCCUUUGUGCGCGUGAAGGCGGCUGCCUGGGACCCGGAGCCCUGAGCCACCCCGGCUGCGCCGCCUCCCUGCGCCCUUCACGCCCAGCCGAGGAGCUCGCAAAUAAAUCCACAGACACAAAAUCUUGUGUGCCGGGGAGAGACUGCGGCGUGGGCAGCGGCGGAGAGCAGGUGCGGGGCGCAGCGAGGCUGGGCGCGGGGAGGCUGGGCCCGCGCCCGCCCAACGGGAGCACAAACCCGCGCCGGGGCCUGGCAGCAGUAAGUUGACUUGCCCAGACCUUCGGAGGCUGCAGGCCCUUCAGAAGGGGGAAGCCGGGCGGGCAGGGUGGAGGUGGGGCGGGCUCCACCCCACACCCGGGGCCGCCCUUCCUCCCAGGGGGCCAGGGUGACGGGUCGCUGGGUACCGGGAACGAAGGGCUGAGCCUCGGUGCUCAGGUCUGAAAUGUAAAAAUGGCAAAGAGGAAAUGCCUGCCGGCUGCGCAAAAAUCUGGGCUGAUCCUAGAGAAGAAGCGCAGCACCCCCACAUCUGCCCCGCCUGCGGAGAGGACGCAGAGGGGCGGCGUGCAGUGCCGGCCGGGAAGGGAGCGGGGGCGAGGGGUGGUGACCUGCCCGGGACCACCUGGAGCCAGCCCCGUGGAAGAGGGACCCGAAGGAAGAUCUGGGGUCCAGUCUGUAAACCUGAGGACCCCCCCAGAAUGCCAACGAGCUUCAGGGAGCUAGAAGCCAGAGCCGGCCUGGGCCUCUCCGGGAAGCCAAGGCUGGAGGGUGGGUGUCCACUUGGCACCCCUGGGUGGGAGAGGACGGGGUGAAAGGUCCAGAGGCCAGGUGGGAGGGGAGACUGCUUCAGGGUUGGUUUCAACACCAUGGACAGCGGGUCCCCUGCCGCCGGAGGGGCUGUGCCCCGUCCUAGUAGGGUGACACGAGCGUCCAGCGUCCUCCAUCACGCUGACUGACGGAGGCCCAGAGCGACACAGUCCCUGACAAGGCUUCAAGUGCCAGCUGCCCCGGGUCCCCUGCCCUCCAGCCCACCACUGAGGGUCCAGCCUGCGUCUGGCUAUGGCGGUGAGCCCCACAGGCUGGAGGGGCCUUCCUCAGUGCUGGGCUGGGGGAGGCGAGGCUUCCACUUCCGUGUGGAUGAGUGUGUUUGGGUGUGGAUGAGUGUGUUUGG